GUGCUACUCUUCUUUAUCUGGGGAACAUUAACUGAUCUCACUGAAGAAUGACCCUAGAGCUGAAUGUUUAACACAGAGUUUGGGUAGGGGGUUCUCUUGCGUGUAGUUACAUUGCUCUGACUGCAAAUAUCCUGCCUUGCUUUUUCCAGAGGCCCUCACCACACCCUGACUACACCAUGGUCCAUGUUUCAGGGUCAGAUGGCACUGUGGUGUGUCGACACCUGACCUUUGUCCUCCUGCCAUGGUGCACCUACCACACAGAGCUCAAUGUGCCUCUGCCUGAACGGCCACACGGGCACUCACCGAUGCCCAGCCUUGGUCCCUUCCCUCUGCUCUCCGCUCUUCCCCUUGGCAGCUGCAGCCUUUUUUGUUCUUUCUUUAUCCUCUGUAGCUGGGUGACAGUCCUUCAAGAAGUAGGGACAGUACAUCCCCAGAACCUAGCAGAAUACCUGGAAUGUAGUAAGAUUUCAAUAAAUAAUUGAAUGGAUGAGUGAAAGAUUUAUUAAGAUAUAUGUCAGUCAUAAAGUAGUCCAGUGGUGUAAUACUGGAUGGCCUGUAUCAUUUAACCUUCUCAGAAUGCGGAGACCACCCAGAACACCCACUAAGCCCAGCUACAGCUCUGUUUCGUAGCAACAAAUUCCUCCAGCCAAGUCCCCUGGAUGCGUUCCCACAGAGGGGUAGCAGUGGUGCUGGGCUGCACUGAUUCCAUUAACCUCAUCCCACUACUUGUAUCAGCCACGGGAACGAAUAAGUAACAUUGUAAGUACCGCCGUCUCCAAUCAGGCUGUUAAGGAAAAAAGGACAAGUGUUCCACAUCAAUGGAAACAAAAGAAAAACAAUGAUGCUUUAGGAGAGGUUGAUGAUUCUAAUACCUCCGUAUCUACACUCAUUUGCUCAGAACAGCAAACCCCAAUUAGAAAAGCAGACCAAAAAUGUCUUAUUAAAGAGCACACAAAACAUUUGCAUACGAAUGGGUAAAAUUCUCAAACCUCAAUGCUGUAAAGCAGCAGCUGUUGUGAGGCGGGAAAAGUUUUGGGCUAGGAGCUGAGAGAUCUGUGCUCCAAGCCUGGCUCUGCUGCUCAGUAACUGUGACUCUGCCCAGUUCAGCCACCUUAGCUUGGGUUCCCACUUCAGGAAAUGAAGUGUUGGACAAAAUGAUCUCUAACAUCCCAGACCAAGUUAAAAACCUCCCGUACUCCCGUUGUCUGCAGGAGACACAAAUGGGGGUUCCUAAUCAUCUUUGCCCUCCUCACCCAGCCCAUACCCAGGUGAGUGUGGUGGUCUGGGAGCAGCCCUGGAGUGAAGGUUUAUUCAUCUGUAUUUUCCCCAAUGCUUCUCCCAAAUAACUGAGAGUGGCCAGAAAUGCUUUCAAACUUAGAGGCCACUGGGCAGAAGUGAGAGGUGAGUCUUAGACAGAUUUUACUUAAAGACCAAAAUAUCUGCAAGCCUUUCUUGCUCUGAGUGACAAACUCUUUUUCCAGAAGGUGAGGAGUCAGACAACAUUCUGUAUGUAUGUGGUCCUCCUGCAUCUACGGUGAAGGUCACCAGCCUGCACACUUCCUGUUCCAGACACUCUGGGCUCCUUCAAGAAAGGCCGCCAGCCCUAUUUCUUGGCAGAUACUGUCUAUUUCUAUGUGACAUUUCUAUCACUAUUUCCUUAAACCGUUAUUUAAACCUAUUACUGGUAUUUUAAUUUUCAAGUAUAUAAGUGUGUUCCUAAGUUUUAACAGUUAUGAUUUGAAGAGACUCUACCAUGUGCAAGUUUCUGGAUGGAAACUUUAUAUAUGAUAUUACUUAUCCAACAAAAUACCCCUUUGAAUGAGAAAGUAUCUUCAUUUUACAGGGACGGAAAGUGAAACGGGAAUCAUCCAAAUAUCUUGCCAGGGUCAAAACAACGGUGGAGCUCAGAUCUAACCCAGGCCACUCCGACCUUGUUUUCCCACUCAUUCCCCUUUUUCUGGGGAUGAGGUUUGUAUCCUUUGCCCCUGUGGCUUUUAUUCCCAAAUUCCUACACAUUCUUUAUCUAUAAGAAACAUUUCCUAUCAUCAUUUGAGUUCAUCCCAGUGGACCCUCUGUAAUUUCAGUGUAAUCAAUUUAGAGCCCUACCAGUAGUGUAGAGGCCACCUUUCAUUCCGAGGUCCAGCACGGCCUUGGGGCUGAGCCAUGACCCUGGCUGCUGCCGUCCGGCUCUGUGCAUUGUGCAUGUGGAGUGACUACUGAGUUUUGGAGAGACCAGACCUGAAGUUAUAGUUAUGCUUUAGAAUGAAGACAUAAGAAGUAAAGGAUUAGAAAGAUUUUAAGGAAAUAAUAUCACUCGGCUUGGUGACUGGACGCGGAACGUGGUGGUAAGUGGAAGCUUCACAUUGGUAAGUAGAUGGUGCUCAUCACAACACUGACAUUAAGAGAAGACAACGGGCUUGGGGGAAGGGUUAGAGGAGCCAUGGGUGAGGGUGAGCAACUUGGAGGACAGGUAAAGGACCCACCUGCUUUUAUACAUAGAAAUGUAAUGGCCCACAAAGGUCAUUCUAAAGUUCGGCUUGAAGCCUACAGUUAAGUGAAAGUUGAAGCUAUGUGAUUACAUGAUGUAAAAAAAAUAAGCAUAAAUUGUGAGUGGCUAAUGCACUGGCUGUCAAGUUUAACUAAUGGUGAGGAGGUGAGCAAAAAAGGAGAAAGUCAUUAAGUAGCCCAAGGAGGAGCUGGGAGAGAGCAGGGCAAUGAUGUGGGAGGGAAUUGUAAGGAAAAAGUGUAAGAUCUCAGAAAGUCUCAGAUUGUCUUAAGCUAAUCAUUACUUUAAGAAAACUGCUUUGGAAUCAUUAAAACAGAUUACUUAAUUUUCAGGAAAACAUAGUGAGCUACUUAGUGUAGCUUCUUCAUCUUGUGUCAUUCGUUAGUCCCUCAGCUCUAAGAACGGAUAUCAUGGGGAGAGAAAAAUAGCUACACUAAUGGGUCAUGGUGGAGCUGCUAAAGAUUUGUGCUGCCUACUUUAUAGUUUUUAAUUGACAUUAUGAAAACAAUAAAAAUUUAAUAAAUCAAUAAUAUCUAUCCCAAGGAUUUAUGUUUGUAACUAUAACACUGACUUAAGUUGCAAAGAAGUUUCUUACAAUGAGAAAUGCCCCGGAGAUGGAUUUCACUGAGUGCUUGAUGAGUAUUUUACAUUUUAGUGGCAGUCAGACCCCUCAGAAUUUAGCUCGCCAUAUACUUUUCCUUCACUUAACAAUUGAGAAGUAUUCCAAAGACUGAUCAUAGUGGAAACGACCUCAUUAUCACUCUUGUUGCCAAAAGCAAUCCAGGACAGAUCACUUAAUCUCAGUGUGAGAUGAACAAAGCAGUCUGGGAAUGAAAAAGAGAAUUUGGAACAUGCCUCCCAAAGAAUUGUGCUCGUUUCCUCUCACAAAAAUGAUCAUGAAACUUUGGUUGCAACACCAGAGUGCUCCUCUGAUUUAAGAAUUGGCGCAUGUCAUGAUGGGCAGAGUCCUGCAGAUGAAGUCUCGGAUAGCAUGAAGUUAGCAUGCGCCGCAAAAAACUUAGACACCCAUCUCCUCAGGAGGCUCUCAUCCACUACCAAGACACAAUUUCUGGCAAAAAAAGGUUUACCAUCUGAGCUUUCGCCCUCCAUGUGGCACAGACGGGGGCCUGCCCUCAGGGCAAAGCCAAGAAAUGGGAGAUUCACCACCUACCGCCUUUCUCCUAAGCAGCGACUCUCCUCCGGAAUCUGCCUGCUUUCUUCUCUUCCCUGUGUCUUCAUGUACUUGUUUGAUAUAUGGAGUCCAGAGUUUAUAGUUAUCUGCAGGAGAGCUCGUUGACAGGAACUAUUUUGUUACUUGAGAAAUAAUGUUUUAAAGAAAAAAUCCUGAAUCAGAUAGAUGGUUUCUGGAAACAUUCAUUUCCUUUUCACCUUUACUUUGAACAGAGUGUUUCUCGGUGCUCACUCCUCUGGUUACAGUCUCCUUUCACAGAGGAUCCGGCUGCUUCUUACACUAAACACUGUGCUUGCAGACCAAGCCCCAAGCAGUUCCUCUAGCGGGUUCCUCAGCAGUCACGCAUUUAUGCCUCUGCACUGCCCUCUGACGGCCGGACGCCUCAAGUACAGACCAAAGUGCUGGUCGGGAAACGGAAGGCCCUUCGGACAGAUACUUCUGAUAAAAAUAUGCAAACUCCUGUUGAAAAUAAAGAAUGCUCUCUAAUAAAAGAAAUUUGCAAACGUGUUUCGAGGUUCCGACAAGAGAACAGGAGCACUUUUUUAAGAAAAACAGUAUCGAGGUACAUUUUACACUCAAUAAAAUGCAUUCUUUUAAAGCGUAUCAGUUCAAUGGGUUUCGACACAUGUACAGACCCAGCCACCAACACCAUCAACAUGCAGAGCGUUUCCAUUACCUCCCGGAACGUGCGUUUGUGCCCUUACAGACAACCCCACCCCAGCCCUUGCCCAAGGGACCACUGAUCUGCUCUCUCACCAUACGUUAGUUUUGACUUAUUAAAAUUUCAUAGAAAUGCAAUUAUACAGUAUGUACUCUUUCAUGCUUACAUUAACUAGGUGUUUUGUUCAACAUAUCUGACAUCUAUUCAUGUUACUGUAUCAGUCAGCUCAAUCAUUUUUACUACUGUUUGGUUUUUUUCCUGCAUUAUUCUUAGCAUUAUCCCAUGUUAAUUUGUGUAAUAUCAGUAGGCUAGAAUAGUUACCUUCUUGAGGAUUAAAUUACUCUUUGCAUCUCUUAGCAAAGGGUAGGUGCUAAUAAGAGCAGUUCAAGGAAAGUGAGAAGAUAAAAUUAGGACAUAUUAAAUAGUUUCUUGUUGUAGUGUAGAGGUCUCUGUACUUCCAGUUAAAGAGAAAAGUUCUCCCAGUUAAAAAGGAUUAUAAGAUAGCAGGGCCUGAUGUUUUAAUCUCCCAUCUUCUUACUAAAAUAGCAAUGACUGUGAAAUAAAACAGAAGCCCAAAAUUCACCUUCUCCAGCAUCUAAUGUAAUGAACAAUAAUUAUUAGCAGCAGCAAAAUUUCAACAGCAAGAACCAAAUAAGGAAAAGUAUACAAUGUCAUGCCAUAAAGUCCAGCAAGUAGUUGAUAAAAUAAAAUAUUCUGGCAUGGCUUGGCACAGCUCCCAAGCUUAACCCUGAAUUACAAGAAAAGAGGGGAAAAAUAAAAUAUUGUUUAUUUCCAUAAAUAUGUACUUUGGAUAAGAGUAGUCUUGAGGGAUUGAACAGGAACCUCAGGCAAAAUUCAAAAAGAAAUCUUCAAGAGUAGAAGCCUCUACAGCAAGAUGCUGAGCAGAGGCAGGAAAGAUAUCAGACCUGCAUGGAACUGAAAAGUCUGAGGCCAGAACUUUUCCCCUCACAGAAACUUUGGACCAAAUGAAUAAUAAGAUAGAGAAUUGGGCCAUAUUUCAGAAGAGAAAACAGAAUCCACAUUCAUCCACAUGCCUAAGCAAAGGAACACAGCCAGAGCUAGGCUGCCUUUUCCCUGUACCCUCAAGCUACAGAGAAGGGAAUAGAAGCACAACACAGCCUCGAAGCUACUGCUCUAAGGAGACAAACGGGACUCUGAAACAUGAGGAGAACUUGCCAGCUCUAGAGAGAGCGAAGGGAAAGCCAAAGGGAACGUGCAAGACAAAGGGAACGACAUCACACUGUUCUCUGCUUUUGUUUUACACUUCUUACAAUUAUUUAAAAAGAUUGUUUAAAUUUAAAUUAUACAAACAUACUCCUGAAAAAUAAUAUAUAGAACAAUGACAACUGCAUGCAGAAAACAGAUAAAGGACCUAAGAGUAGAAAUCUCAAAGAAACAGAAGGGAAACUCUCUCCAAUUAUUUUCUGUGACAAAAGAAACUUAAAGAGAACAUGAACAGAAAAUGAUUCUCAUCAGAGAAAUAAUUUAAAAAACGGAAUGACAUAAAAAGAACACUGUACUCUGAAGGAAAAUUAAGAUCCAAAAUAAUAUGAGUAUGAAUUAGAAACACCAAGAAAUACUUUAACACUGUGUUUAAGUAUAAGAAGGCUUGAGUUACUUACAGUGAAUAGAGGAAUAAGCAGGUAAAACUAUUAAGAAAGUACACAAAGGACAAAGACAAGCUUUCACUGAGGCAGAUCUAGUUUGCUAUCGAAUUUCAGGGUUAGAGAAAGAAUUCUUUAAUCACAUAGAGGGGACGAAAUACGACAGAAAAUUUUCAAGCUACUGUCAAAUUUCUCCUUAGUAACAAUUAGUACUAGAAUAGAAUGGAGUAAUUAAUUUCAGCCAAAUUUUAAAGAAAAGAAAAUGACAACCAAUUUUAUACCCACCAAGUCACUAGAAUAUAUUCAAGCAUGCAUGAACUCAGGAAGUAGUGUCCAUAAGAACCUUUUAAAAAAAAUAAAACUACUUGACAGUAAAAUUUAACUGAUCAAGAAAUAAUUUUACAAGUUUAAAACCUGUGUUCCCUUUUUCUAAUAUAAACUUUCACAAAGUUCUAUAUAUAUGUCUCCCUAAAAAGUUAAAUCUACAUUGCAAAAGUGGAAAAC